rnacentral:rRNA from 1 species
UACGUAGGGUGCGAGCGUUAAUCGGAAUUACUGGGCGUAAAGCGUGCGCAGGCGGUUUUGUAAGUCAGAUGUGAAAUCCCCGGGCUUAACCUGGGAACUGCGUUUGAAACUACAAGGCUAGAGUGUGGCAGAGGGGGGUGGAAUUCCGCGUGUAGCAGUGAAAUGCGUAGAGAUGUGGAGGAACACCGAUGGCGAAGGCAGCCCCCUGGGUUAACACUGACGCUCAGGCACGAAAGCGUGGGGAGCAAACAGG